CAAAAUUUCUGCUACCUUUGCCUUUUUAGGGUUUUGCCUUUUCAGAUUUUGAACUAUUAGAUUUCUCUCAACUAAGCUAUGUCAUAGUCCCCCAUUGUUUUGUAAUAGCUCCAAGAAGCAGAUGUUUCUAGUGAACCAAUGCUUGCUGGACACACCAGAACACAAGCACCUAUGAACUCACAGUAGCUGUGACUGUGCAUAAUAAACUUGUACAAGAUCAAGCCAGCCCACAUUCCAGUAAAUACUGGGCAGUGGUUCCUGAAGUCUCACCCUUAUUUGAGGAAAAUUGACAACUGAAAAUGCCAAGGGAGGGAUAGUUAUCUUACUUCAAUGAUGAAAGCCAUGAAGAGCUAGCUACCCAUUCUCUGAAGAUGGUUCUGUGACCAUGUACAUGCAGGAAGCAUGAAAUGACUCAGCGUGUAUUAAAGAAAAGGAGAGAGCUCAUGAAUUUGCAUGAGAAAAAAUUAUUGAUGGGAAAUGAGGAUGUGGAGGAAAGAAAAUGGUGUUAUAAGCUUGGAAACUACAAAAAGACCUUCUUGUUUCAUGUAUGCACAUAAGAACGUUCUAUGUCAUUGAAAGGUGAAUUGCUACCAGGAGCCAGUUUUCCUUUAAAACGUCAUAGUCUGACUAAGUAACCACUAUUCAAGAACUCUGCCCAUCAUGGUACAUCAAGGUCACAUUUUGGUUGUUCUAUGACUCCUUGUUAGUGGAAUGACUUUGACCAAAAGUUAAGAGCUCUUCAAGUAGGAAGCUGAGCUUCACAGACUUCCAGCAACUUGCUAACAUCAGACAGCCAGUAAACGAGGGAGCCAAACUUCAAGACAAGAACCCAGUGAACAUUGAGUCUGUGCUUUUUCCAGCACAGCGUGAGAGAAAAGGGAUCUAAGAGUCUUGUCCUUGAAGAGGAAAGCUAUGCUUCAAGCAGAAAGAUUAAAUGAAGUUUGUCAUGCAACAUCAAUAUGAUUAAUGAUUCAUUACAGAUAGUGUACAGGAUUGCUAUAUGUAUGUAGCAUUUUUACCAAAAUAAUUAUAAUUUAUACACAUCUUUGAAACCAUUCACUUAUGAAUAUUAUAUAUAAAUUAAAAUUAGAAUUAAUCUAAUUA
rnacentral:lncRNA from 1 species